rnacentral:tRNA from 1 species
GGGUGGGCUGGCGAAGGGGGACGUUAGCUGACGUAGCGUCAGUUGGACAGGGAUCCGGCGAGCUCGGGCUCCUGCUCCGGCGCGGGGGCCGGUCCG